AUUGAGGUUGCGCGCACGCCGCACACUGUGCAGUUGAACAAGGAAAGGAGGGGUGACCUUUCACAGGACACCUUGAGGACGCAACGACAUCCAGCCUGCUGCGGACGUGUCGAUUCUACUGACCGGACCGGUCAUGUGAUCACAGCACCUCAGGACACCUUGAGGACGCAACGUCAUCCAGCCUGCUGCAGACGUGUCGAUUCUACUGACCGGACCGGUCAUGUGAUCACAGCACCUCAGGUGGGUUUGAAGUACCAAUGCUAUAAAAAAUAAAGGGAACACUUAAAUAACAAUGUGACUCAAGUCAAAUUAUACUGUCCACUUAGUAAGCAACACUUACUGACAAUCAACUUCACAUGCUGUUGUACAAAUGGAAUAGACAACAGGUGGACAUUAGAGGCAAUCAGCAAGACACCCCAUAUAGAUGAAAACUGUCAUUCUGGCUUUUUUAACCAUGUGUAGUCAUG